rnacentral:rRNA from 1 species
GGUUCGAUCAUGGCUCAGAUUGAACGCUGGCGGGAUGCUUUACACAUGCAAGUCGAACGGCAGCACGGAUCCCCCGGUCUGGUGGCGAGUGGCGAACGGGUGAGUAAUGUAUCGGAACGUGCCUAGUAGCGGGGGAUAACUACGCUGAAAAAGCGUAGCUUAAUACUGCAGCACACAGCCUCUUCGGGGGAAAGCGGGGGACCUUUCGGGCUCCUGCACUAUUAGAGCGGCCGAUAUCGGAUUAGCUAGUUAUGGGUAACGGCUCACCAAGGCGGCGAUCCGUAGCUGGUUUGAGAGGACGACCAGCCACACUGGGACUGAGAUGGCCCAGACUCCUACGGGAGGCAGCAGUGGGAAUUUUGGAUGACAAUGGGGGAAACCCUGAUCCAGCCAUCCUGCGUGUGCGAUGAAGGCCUUCGGGUUGUAAAGCACUUUUGGCAGGAAAAGAAACGGCACGGGAUAAUACCCCGUGCAACUGACGGUACCUGCAGAAUAAGCACCGGCUAACACGUGCCAGCAGCCGCGGUAAUACGUAGGGUGCAAGCGUUAAUCGGAAUUACUGGGCGUAAAAGCGUGCGCAGGCGGUUCGGAAAGAAAGAUGUGAAAUCCCAGAGCUUAACUUUGGAACUGCAUUUUUAACUACCGAGCUAGAGUGUGUCAGAGGGAGGUGGAAUUCGCGUGUAGCAGUGAAAUGCGUAGAUAUGCGGAGAACACCGAUGGCGAAGGCAGCCUCCUGGGAUAACACUGACGCUCAUGCACGAAAGCGUGGGGAGCAAACAGAUUAGAUACUCCUGGUAGUCCACGCCCUAAACGAUGUCAACUAGCUGUUGGGGCCUUCGGGCCUGGUAGCGCAGCUAACGCGGAAGUUGACCGCCUGGGGAGUACGGUCGCAAGAUUAAAACUCAAAGGAAUUGACGGGGACCCGCACAGGCGGUGGAUGAUGUGGAUUAAUUCGAUGCAACGCGAAAAACCUUACCUACCCUUGACAUGUCUGGAAUCCCGAAGAGAUUUGGGAGGUCGCAAGAUAGCUGUUCAGUGUUGCGUAGCGGCUGUCGUUGCCGUCGUGAGAUGUCAGUUAAUCCGCAACGAGCGCGUACCGUCAAUAUCAGCGAUGAAGUGGCACUUCAGCUGAGAUUGCCAUGACGUACCGGAGGAAGAAGGGAUACGUCAGCUCCAGUGGCUUAUGGCUGUCACACAGCUGUCGGAUAGGGUCGUUGUCCCCGCGAGGGGAGCUUAACAACCCAGAAACCGAUCGUCAGACUGUGGCUUCAAACUGACGUGAAACGAACAUAUAUCAGUGAUCGCAUGACCGGGGCGGUGGAACACGUCUGGUCUGGUCCACGCUGUCAGUCAUACCAUGGAGGGUUUACUGAAGUGGUUAGCCAACUGUAGAGGCGGAUUACCAUUAAGUAGGGACGCAUCAAAGUGGAAGUCAAAUAAAAGGUCGUUAUCACCUGGUU